UACGUAGGUGGCAAGCGUUGUCCGGAUUUAUUGGGCGUAAAGCGCGCGCAGGCGGUCCUUUAAGUCUGAUGUGAAAUCUUGCGGCUCAACCGCAAGCGGUCAUUGGAAACUGGGGGACUUGAGUACAGAAGAGGAAAGUGGAAUUCCACGUGUAGCGGUGAAAUGCGUAGAGAUGUGGAGGAACACCGAUGGCGAAGGCAGCCUCCGUGGGCCAGCACUGACGCUCAUGCACGAAAGCGUGGGGAGCAAACAGG
rnacentral:rRNA from 1 species